GAUGAAGAACGUAGCGAAAUGCGAUAAGUAGUGUGAAUUGCAGAAUUCAGUGAAUCAUCGAAUCUUUGAACGCACAUUGCGCCCCUUGGUAUCCCGAGGGGCAUGCCUGUUCGAGCGUCAUUUCACCACUCAAGCCUGGCUUGGUGUUGGGCGACGUCCUCUUUGGGGACGCGCCUCGAAACGCUCGGCGGCGUGGCACCGGCUUUAAGCGUAGCAGAAUCUUUCGCUUUGGAAGUCGGGGACCCGUCUGCCGGAAGACCUGCUCGCAAGGUUGACCUCGGAUCAGGCAGGGAUACCCGCUGAACUUAAGCAUAUCAAUAAGCGGAGGA
rnacentral:misc_RNA from 1 species